CAGGUCUGCGGAUCCAGUAAGCCCCCCUGUCAUCUCCACUUGAAUGUUCAGUGACCAUCCAAAAUGUAACACUCCUAGAGCUCACCUUCUAAUUGUUUUCCCUCAAUUUUUUUCCCCACUGUUUUAAGCCAGUCAGCCAGUCUGGUUGUGUCUGUCUUCACCCCCACCUCUCACCAUGCCCACCAUCCCACAAGCUGCCAUCAUCCUGAGACUGAGGCGGUAGCUCCCUAACCCGGCUCCCUCCCUCUGCCCUUUGCCCAGCUUCCUUCUUUGGAUCACACAGCAGCCGGUGAUCUUGUUAAAACCUGAGCCAGCUCUUGUCAUUCCUCAGCUCGAACACACUGAGGACUCGCUGACUCACUUGAUGGACCAAGCUGAAGAUCCCAUGUGAUGGGGCCCCUGCCAUUUCUCCUUUCCUGUUCCACGUUUCCUCUGCUCUGGCCCGAUGCACGGGUGCACAUGGACCGUGCCUGCCAGCCAUUGCCUAUACCAGGCACACUCCCACCCCUGGGUCUUUGCACGUGCUGUUCCCUCUGAGUGAAAUUCUUUUGGCCAAAUGAUACACCUGGUCUGCUUCCUUUCUUUCUUUCGGUCUUUACCCCAGAGCCACCUCCUCAUCGAGGCCUUCCCUGAGCCCCAUCCCGCCCCCUUCCUGGGCUUCCUCAUAUCUCUCCUCAUCACUGCUUUCUGUUUUCCUUCCCAGCCCUUGUCCCAGCCCUGCCUAUUUUAUUUCGGCGCUGUCUCCUUCAGUAGAACGUAAGCCCCAGGAGAGCAGGGAUUUUUGUCUGUUCUGGUUACUCUUGAUACCCUGAUGCCUAGAACGGUGCCUGCCACAUAGUGGGUCCUCAGUAAAUAGCACGCGAAUGAAAGCAUGUUGCUGCAUAGCUUUAGUGUGAGCAGGAGUCAUGGGACCAAGAGGUGUGCGGGGAGGGGCCGGCACUCAGUAUCCUGGCUCAGGCCUCUCCACAUGGUCCUCUGGAGGCAAAAUUCUGUCUUGGGUCAAAAUUUAAACAUUAUUAUUUCAAAAAUGUAAAUGUUAUUCAUUUUUUAAUACACUUAGAUACUUUACAAUUCAUUCCUUUCCUCCAGCCCCUCAAUGCUCCUGCUUGGAGGGAGAAACCUGUGUUAUCAGUGAGUGCCUAUUUCUCCACAUCUUUACCAACACAAUGUGUUUUCAGACCUUUUUUUUUUUUUUUUUUUUUGGUUGGGGCAUACAGAAAUUCCCAGGCCAGAGAUCAAACAUUUGUCAUAGCAGUGAGAACACCAGAUCCUCAACUGCUAGGCCACCAGGGAACUCCUUCUUUUUUUUUUUUUUUUUUUUUUUUAAUCUUUGCCAGUGUGGCUGGUAAAGAAAAUUGUGUUCUCAGUCUGGUUUUACUUCGCAUUUCUUUAAUUAUAAGUGAUGUUUAGUGUCUUAUCAUGUGUUUAAGGAAAAUUUCUAUUUCCUUUUCUGUACGUUGCCUGUGCAUAUUCUUUGCCUAUUUCUUACCGAGAUACUGAUUUUCUUCAUAGUUUUCGUACAUUUUAAUUAUUUUUCUUGGUGUCUCAUGGUUGCUCCAGCCCUUUGGAGAAGGGAGAAGAUUCAAGUGAACUGGUAAUGGUUUUGAACUUGAGACUAUAGCCUUUAGUGCCAUAUCUAAUAGAUAGCAGGCCUAGGCCAAAACAGAAGCCCGCCCAUGGAAACCAGUGAUAGCAGAGGUCCCUGUUUUGAGGUUCUUUUAUUCAGGAACUCACACUGGCUUCUAAAGGUUUCUCUGCUGCCUUUCUCCAGUGUGUUUUUUUCUUACUAGUGUGGAGAGAGCUAACUUGAUCAUGCAGGUGCAUCUCGUUAUAUGCACGUGACCUGUAGAGAUUCAAUGAUACCAUCCAGGAGAAUGGUGAAGGAGAGAGAGAAGGAGGAAAAUAACCAUUUAAACAGUGUGGGGGAUUCUUUCAUGCGUUCAGUGGGAGGAAAAGCCGUCAGUGUAGUAGGGGAGCUGUUGCUAUGCUGUUCCCUCUCUCUGCCCUGUGCCCCUCCAUAGUGCAGUCCUAGAGUUUUAUAUAAGCCAACUAUUUUAUCUGAUAUUUAACUCAAGGGACACUGAAAACAUAGCAUAGCACAGCAAAAAACUGGCUCUUUGGAACCUAAUGAAAGAUAAUAUGCCACGCUCUAUUCUGUGGUCUUCCAAACAGCUUGUUGGGUAUAAUUUUGGAAAUAUGUGAUUUUUGCCUUAUUUGUUGACUUUAAAAGCUAAAUCCUAUGUGAAGAUGUGACUCUGUGUAGAAUAAACUGGCAUUUAUAUUUCAUGAAAUAGUAAAUAAAUGAUAAGAGGGAGCGGCUGUACUUUUUUUUGUGCUUUUCAGGGCUUCACCUGUGGCAUAUGGAGGUUGCCAGGCUAGGGGUCCAAUCCAAGCUGUAUCUGCCAGCCUACACUGCAGCCGCAGCAACGUAGGAUCUGAGCCGAGUCUGCCCCUUACAUCACAGCUCAUGGCAAUGCCGGAUCCUUAACCCAUGGAGCAAGGCCAGGGAUCGAACCUGCGUCCUCAUGGAUGCUAGUCAGAUUUGUUAACCACUGAACCACAACAGCAACACCUGUACUUUUUUUUUUUAGGUAUAAUAAUGGUGUGGUUGGGUGGGAGAGUGUUUUUAUUGUCAGGGUUGUUUCUGAAAGUAAUGAGGUCUGAUCUGUCAUGAUGUCUACAACUUACUUUCAGAUAGUUUUCCAAAAAAGUGUGUGGGUAUAGGAUGUGAGGGCAAUCCGGCUGUGAUAUCUGUCACCCCAUUGAUGGCCAGGGUUGAUUGGGCUGUUCUGGCUGGCUAGGCGGAUGUCCCCUUCCUCCUUCGCCGCUUCAGGUGCGUCCCUCCCGAAGCUGCGCGCUCGGUCGCAGAGGUCAACCAUGCCCGAUAGAGGAGGACCGUUCUUGGGUCAAGGGUAUACGAGUAGCUGUGCUCCCCUGCUAGAACCUCCAAACAAAAAGUAUGUCAUUUAACUGUGUCCCGUGCAAUCCAGUAGGAUAGCAGGUGUAGCCAGGUAGUAUUAUCUACAAUACAAUUACAUAGACAUCAGAGCUCACAUCCUCAGUCUCACCAGCCACAUUUCAGGUGCUUCAGAGCCACACGCAUUUCGUGGCGAUGUGCUGGACAGCGCUGGUGCAGGACAUCUUCAUUAUUGCGCAAGUUCUCUGGGUAAGACUGCAAACAGACACACAGAGAGAGGGAAGAAGCAAAUGUGGCAAAAUGAUAGCAAUUGGCGAAGAGCUUGCAAUUCUUCAUUCUAUUCUUUUUUAAAAUUUUCAUUUUUAUUUUUUAUUUUGGCCGUGCUGGCAGCCUGUGGAAGUCCCUGGGCCAGGGAUCGAACCUGUGCUACAGUAGUGACAAUGCUGCCUCCCCAAAUUCCAGGCCACUAGGAAACUCCUAUGGAUUCUAUUCUUUGAAUUUUUCUGUAAAGUGGAGACUUCAUGAUAAAAGUACUAACAUGUGAUCUUAGAUUGCGUCCAGAACUAGAACAUUUUUUUUUUCUUUUCUCUUUUGCCAUAAUGAACCUUGAUAGGAUAGCUGGUGAAAUUUGAAUAAAGUCUAUCAGUUAGGAAAUAGCAUUAAAGAAUGUUAACUAUCCCCAAUGUUUCUAACUAUGGUUGUGUUAGAAAAUGUCUUAGUUCUUAGAAAAGACACACUGAAGGAUUUAGGAGUAAAGGGGAACUGCAUGUACAGCUCAGUCUCAGCGUUUUAGGAAAAAAUGUAAAUGUUUAUGGGAGAGAAUCAAGGGAGAGGAGAGUAAUACAGCAAAUAUAGCACAAAGUUAAUACUGGAUGACUCUGGGUGAAGGGUUUAUAGGAAUUCUUUGUCUUAUUCUUCAACUUUUUAAAUAUCUCACAUUGUCUGUCUGUCUGUCUGUCUCUCUGUCUAUCUAUCUACCUAUCUAUGUAAAUACUAGAAAAUAACCUAGAGGACCAAAAAGGAAACAUGAUGGCAGAGGUCAAAGAAUUGGCCUGGGAGCUGGCCGACCUGGUUGCAGGCUUAGCACUGCCUCUGACUAGCUCUGUGAUUUUGGGUAUGUUGUCCCACCUCCCUGAAUCUUAGUUGGCCCACCUGUUAAAUAGAGGGUUUGAACUUGUUGAUUUUAAAGAAGCCGUCUAGCUCAAAAUGGUAGGUCUCUGUAACUAGUCCCUGUAGUUUAUUUACAUGUGAGGGUCUGUGUGCAGAGCUUCUUUCCUACCACCAGGGGGCCUCAGUUCACCUCCGUCUCUGUGGGAAGCACUUCAUUUCUGGGCCACACCUCCCAGCCACUACACCUUGUUUCCUAGCACCUUCCCUUUUUGCUCCUGAAGCUUCGCCACAGCUGUCAUUGUUCUUCCUUGACGUUCUUUUGGGCCUAGAGAAGACCGGUAUUGCUAAAAACAAUCGGAGGUUGCUUUGCCUUUUGCCAGGUUGCAGACCUUCUAGGACAGUCACCCCUCAGAGGGGUCUGGGAGGGAGAGGUCUGCUUACUCAUGAUGGGAGAUCAGGACCCGGCAGUCUUGUCAUCAGGCGCUAGGAGCGGCAGUUAUAUGCCCUGAUUUGGGGCAUCGGGUAGAAGCCAUCUAGAUGUGUUUCGUCCUCAUGACCUGGAGUUGCCCCUGCGCUGAUGAAUGCUACGCCAGGAGCUUGUCUAGCCUCCAGCCCUGGGCGUAUGCUUGCCUCAUUGGUGCUGAGUCCCUGACUGGCUGGCGCCAUGCGAGCAUCAAAAAUGCUGCCUCAUGAAGGAAACGAGCAGAAGAGGAAAUGCAGAUGGUUAACAAGAACAUGGAAAAAACACUCAAUCUGGCUAGUAAUUGAAGAACAGCAUUAGAGCAAAUAAGCAAAGGCUGUUAGUGACUUACAGUGUGGUGUAGAGUCUGGCCGGGUGCACCCUCUGGUUCGAGGCUCCCUGGCUCUGUAGCCUGGGACAAGGCCCUCGCUUUCCCCAGGCCUGUUUCCUCCUGGCUGAAAUGGAGUGUGAAUCCUUGUGAGGAUUCAGUUAGAUCAUGUACACGUAGCGUAGUGUCUGUAAUAAGUGGCCAGUAGAUCUUAGCUGUUAUCUUUAUACUUUUUUUUUUUUUUUAAUCUAUAUAAUUUGUGGAGAGUGGAAAACAGUGCUGAGGGCUGUGUGGUGUUUGGUGAGACGGACGUAUUCCUCUAGGCUGAUGGAUGUCUACACGGGGUUACCCUUUUUGGAAAGGAAUUAAGCAGUUUUAAGAACUUAAAAAAAAGAAGAGUUCCCAUCAUGGCGCAGUGGUUAACGAAUCCGACUAGGAACCAUGAGGUUGCGGGUUUGAUCCCUGCCCUUGCUCAGUGGGUUAACGAUCUGGUGUUGCCGUGAGCUGUGGUGUGGGUCGGAGACGCAGCUCGGAUCCUGCGUUGCUGUGGCUCUGGUGUAGGCUGGCAGCUACAGCUCUGAUUCGACCCCUAGCCUGGGAACCUCCAUCUGCUGCGGGAGCCGUCCAAGAAAUGGCAAAAAGACAAAAAGACAAAAAAAAA
rnacentral:lncRNA from 1 species